rnacentral:rRNA from 1 species
AUGGGAGCUUGCUCCCUGAUGUUAGCGGCGGACGGGUGAGUAACACGUGGGUAACCUGCCUGUAAGACUGGGAUAACUCCGGGAAACCGGGGCUAAUACCGGAUGGUUGUUUGAACCGCAUGGUUCAAACAUAAAAGGUGGCUUCGGCUACCACUUACAGAUGGACCCGCGGCGCAUUAGCUAGUUGGUGAGGUAACGGCUCACCAAGGCAACGAUGCGUAGCCGACCUGAGAGGGUGAUCGGCCACACUGGGACUGAGACACGGCCCAGACUCCUACGGGAGGCAGCAGUAGGGAAUCUUCCGCAAUGGACGAAAGUCUGACGGAGCAACGCCGCGUGAGUGAUGAAGGUUUUCGGAUCGUAAAGCUCUGUUGUUAGGGAAGAACAAGUACCGUUCGAAUAGGGCGGUACCUUGACGGUACCUAACCAGAAAGCCACGGCUAACUACGUGCCAGCAGCCGCGGUAAUACGUAGGUGGCAAGCGUUGUCCGGAAUUAUUG